UUGGUCUUCUGGUGAUAAGUCAGGAGGAAGAUCAUUUGCUUCUAGACUGCAGUUUACUGUGGGUAACUGAGACCAUGGAAAGCAAAACCAGGGGUUGGGGGGACAUGUUAUUAUAUCAUGAAUGGAAAAGUACAGGGUGUUAGAGUGGGAUGGGGAGACAUAGUAAGGGCUUCUAGGCCUUCUGUGCUGUUGACAAAAUGGCUUCCCAGAGAAGCCGUGUAUAAGGGAAAUUUUCAAGAAUGAGUAGGAAUUACCCACAGUGGAACAGUGCUCCAGACACAGGAAACAGAGUAUGCAGGAACUGGAGAUAAAAAAUCUAAAAUCACCAGUGGCCUUCUGGAUGCAAGCACACAGAGAAAAUCAAAUACAGGGGCGCCUGGGUGGCUCAGUGGGUUAAAGCCUCUGCUUUCAGCUCAGGUCAUGAUCCUGGGGUCCUGGGAUCGAGCCCCACAUCGGGCUCUCUGCUUGGUGGAGGGCCUGCUUCCCCCUCUCUCUCUGCCUGCCUCUCUGCCUACUUAUGAUCUCUG
rnacentral:lncRNA from 1 species